UUCCGGUUGAUCCUGCCGGACCUGACUGCUAUCGGAUUGAUACUAAGCCAUGCGAGUCUUUGUAGUAAUACAAGGCAGACGGCUCAGUAACACGUAGUCAACCUACCCUAUGGACGAGAAUAAUCUCGGGAAACUGAGCAUAAUUCUUGAUAGAUCAUAAUGCCUGGAAUGGUUUAUGGUUAAAAUGAUUCGUCGCCGUAGGAUGGGACUGCGACCUAUCAGCUUGUUGGUGAGGUAAAGGCCCACCAAGGCGAUUACAGGUACGGGCUCUGAGAGGAGAAGCCCGGAGAUGGGUACUGAGACACGGACCCAGGCCCUAUGGGGCGCAGCAGGCGAGAAAACUUUGCAAUGUGCGAAAGCACGACAAGGUUAAUCCGAGUGAUUUCUGCUAAAGGAAUCUUUUGCCAGUUCUAAAAAUACUAGUGAAUAAGGGGUGGGCAAGUUCUGGUGUCAGCCGCCGCGGUAAAACCAGCACCUCAAGUGGUCAGGAGGAUUAUUGGGCCUAAAGCAUCCGUAGCCUGCUCUGUAAGUUUUCGGUUAAAUCCAUGUGCUCAACGCAUGGGCUGCCGAAAAUACUGCAUAGCUAGGGAGUGGGAGAGGUAGACGGUACUCGGUAGGAAGGGGUAAAAUCCUUUGAUCUAUCGAUGACCACCUGUGGCGAAGGCGGUCUACCAGAACACGUUCGACGGUGAGGGAUGAAAGCUGGGGGAGCAAACCGGAUUAGAUACCCGGGUAGUCCCAGCUGUAAACGAUGCAGACUCGAUGAUGCAAUGGCAUAGAGCUAUUGCAGUAUCGCAGGGAAGCCGUUAAGUUUGCCGCCUGGGAAGUACGUACGCAAGUAUGAAACUUAAAGGAAUUGGCGGGGGAGCACCACAAGGGGUGAAGCCUGCGGUUCAAUUGGAUUCAACGCCGGG
rnacentral:rRNA from 1 species